GUGGCGGGUCCGCCCCUUCUCCCAUCUUCCGCUCCACGCAUCUCCCUCCUCUGCUAAAGAAGGCGAAACCCACUCCUCACCCAGUUGAGCGUGUGACCUCUUUGGCUCUCAUUGGCUCAGUCAAUUAGGAUUGGAGGGUCUUGCUCUGCCACCCAGGCUGGAGAGUAGUGGUAUGAACUUGGCUCACUGCAACCUCCUUUUCUCAAGUUCAAGUGAUUCUUGUGCCUCAGCCAUCAGAGUAGCUGGGAUUACAGGCAUAAAGAAAGGACAUGCCACGUUCUGGGGAGGAGUGCGGUUUUCAAUGGGUCGCUGUGAUUUCCAGGAUACUCUAGGAAAGGCCUGAUUAUUCAGCUCACACUGAACACAAAUGACAUCUUGUUCUUCCUACUGCUAGUGAUGUGGCCUCCUGAAAAGCCUACAAAGUAUUAGUCAAUCAAGUAAGUGGAAGCCAUUUCUAACAGUAAACAUUUGUUGAGACUCACAAGACCCUGUGUGGAGCUGAAAUCACUUUUUUUCCCAUUCUAGAGGACAUUCAGGCAGGAUAUAUACUCCUGAUGCCUACAGGCACAGGAACUCAGAAUCCUUCCUGGAAGGAAACCUGCCCCUCUAGCUACUGCAGAAAGUGCCUGGGGCACAAGAAGAACAAAAAGAGGGAAAGCAACCUGUGUCUGGGGCAGGGCCACUUGGGGAGUGGAAUUUUACUGUCUCCUGAUCCUCAGAGAGGUUUUUACAAAAGUUAAAAAAAAAAGGGAACUCGGCAAACUUGCAUUUAGAAUUCUGGUUAAAACAAAGAAAAAACGGAAUCAUCAUAUUAUGAAAGACCUACCAAAUUCAACCUAUCAAGUAAAGCAGCAUAUCAUGUUUUUUCUCUCUCAUGCUUAUUUGAUGCUUACAGGUUCAGGGUAGACUUGCCGCUUUGUUUCUAAAACAUGCAGAGAGCAGACUUAGAGCAGCAUAUGCUGUUUGGGGACCAGCACGCACAAACCCUGACAGGUGACUGACCAAACGCCAUCAGGAAGGUGAUGAGCGACCACCUUUGCCGAGAGGCCAGCGCCCAGCACAAAACUAAGUACUAUUGGUGCAUGCUUGUCCAGAGCUUGGUGUGGCAGAGUGUUAUGAAGGGGAUGGGCUGGGAACACGCAGGCAACUUCCAAAAUGCUCUGAAGUCCAAUCCAUGGUCCAGAGCAGCGGGGCUGCAGCCAGGCAUGGAGCUAAGGCACUAGGGCUGCAGUGGGUGGGAGGCACCGACUAGAGGUCCCAAUGCCCUACUGUUCCCAGGGAGAGGGGAAGGGGCUCUGCUCACAAGGCUGCCUUUGUGUACAAAGUUGUUUUAAAGGAUGAGAACAUAAAAAGACAAAUCCCUGCUUUCACCCACAAGAAGAAUAUUUUGUUCUCUUCUCAGAGACAUUUACUUAAGUUUUCAAAAGUCUCAACGGCAUUGCCUAGAGCUCCACCCAGGAAGUCCCCUGAGCAACCCCCUCUUUGAGAGUCGCCUCCUCUGCUCACGUGCCUUCUUCCGUCCCAUCUUAGCGAGUUGCCUUUCUUUCCCCUGCUGUGGCUGGAUAAAGAGCAAUCCAGUCAUUUCACCGUCCCCUGUAGCAGGACCCCGUGCUUUUUCCAAGGCAGCUGGGAGUGUCCCUGCAUCACAGCUUGAUGAAGGCAGCUGGCUGGGUCUGCAGCUGCUCCACGUCUGGGGGUGGGAAGACACUGGAAAUGGCUAUGUCCACGAUGCCCUGGCACAGUUCUGCAUAGAGCUUCCUGAAAGGUGUUUUAAAAAUCAUCAUUGAGGACAUUCAUCAAAGUGCAAGCAAAAAAAGAAAUCAUUGUUUUUCGUUUGUUUUUGAAACGGGGUUUUGCUCUGUUUCCCAAGUUGGUGUGCAGUAAUGCAAUCAUGGCUCACUGAAGCCUCAAAUUCCUUGGCUCAAGGGAUCCUCCCACCUAAGCCUCUGAAGUAGCUGCCACUACAGGUGUGCACUACCAUGCCCAGCUAAUUUUUUAACUUUUUGUAGAGAUGGGGAGAAUAUUUUGUUCUCUUCUCAGAGACAUUUACUUAAGUUUUCAAAAGUCUCAACGGAAUUGCCAAGAGCUCCACCCAGGAAGUCCCCUGAGUAACCCCCUCUUUGAGAGUCGCCUCCUCUGCUCACGUGCCUUCUUCCAUCCCAUCUUUGCGAGUUGCCUUUCUUUCCCCUGCUGUGGCUGGAUAAAAAGCAAUCCAGUCAUUUCACCGUCCCCUGUAGCAGGACCCCGUGCUUUUUCCAAGGCAGCUGGGAGUGCCCCUGCAUCACAGCUUGAUGAAGGCAGCUGGCUGGGUCUGCAGCUGCUCCACGUCUGGGGGUGGGAAGACACUGGAAAUGGCUAUGUUCACGAUGCUAUGUUGCCCAUGCUGCUCUUGAACUCCUGAACUCAAGCAACCCUCUCAUCUCAGCCUCCCAAAGUGCUGGGAUUAUAGGCAUAAGCCAAUUCACUUGGGACCAUGCCUGGCAGUUUUUCCUGUUUUUGUUUUUUCAUGACCACAUUUCUAAAACUGGUUGCCCCUCUAUAUACAAAUGCUACAGAAGGCUUUGCAUGAAGAUAAAGCAUUCCCUCAGCAAACACUGAUGAAAGGCCUUGCAGGUGAACAAGACAGACAACUGGCAGGGAAGGCAGGCAACUUCAAGAGCAUGUAAGAGCCAUCCUGCAUUACAUGGAGGGGUGGGCCCUACCCAGGAAAAGGACCAACUCAGCAUAAUUGAAGGGACACUGAAGAAGACUCCCCAUUGACAGGGGAAGACUCUUCAGUGACGGCUAAGCCAAGACCCAGGGAUGAAUAGAAGGCAGACAGAUAAUGGAUGACAGGGUAGAAAUACACACACACAGUUUCUUCUGAUGAGUUAGUUUGAUGGCAGUUAGUCUAAUGAAGGAAACUGCAAAGGCUCUGGCUAGAGAAAAUCAGAGAUAGCUGUUCACGGAAAGCUUCCUCAAGAUGUUCUUUUGGUAAAGCAGAAGCCAACCAUGUUAAGACUGGUGGUGGUUGUUGUUGUUGGUGGUGGUGGUAAUGGUGGUGGGGAUUCCACACAUAGGUAACAAAUCACAAAGGUCCACUGCAGAUAAGAGCAAUCAAGGGAAAUGGUGGCUUAGGGUGAAGCUGGAGAGGUGGGUAAGGCAGUGGCCUUGCAGGUGGAGGUAGGAGUCUGGUUUGUGUCCCUGGUGUAAUGGGAAGUCUGGAGAAUGGCAUGGUCUGGUGUCCACUUUACACACUGGCUGCUCUGGGAGGAUGGAUUUCAUUGGGGCAAGAGCAGAAGUAGACCCCAGUUAGGAGGCUCUGUGCCAAAGCCUUCGUUAUGGUGGAAGAUGACCUGUGCAAGGGUGAUGGCAGUGCAAAUGGAGGGCAGAGGACUCCAGAGGCUGGAGGCAGAACCCACAGGGCCCUGAUGGACAGGACCUGAGAGGAAGGGAAGGCAGAGGCAGGAUCACUGUCAAGUUCCAGCUUAGGAUCUAAGGGGGACAGCAGGUAGCCACUGAGAUCAAAAAGUCUGGGAGGUAGGUAGGAGGACAUUCUGGCAGGGAAGGCAGAUGCAGAUACUAGUAUGCAUCUCUGGGCUGUGAUGUAAUCUGGUUAUUUUAAAACCAUGAAGUUCGAUGAGAUAACAUAGAGAAAGAGGAGCUGAACACACAG